CCUACGGGUGGCUGCAGUGGGGAAUAUUGCACAAUGGGGGAAACCCUGAUGCAGCAACGCCGCGUGAGUGAAGAAGUCAUUCGUGAUGUAAAGCUCUAUCAGCAGGGAAGAAAAUGCCGGUACCUGACUAAGAAUCCCCGUCUAACUACGGGCCAGCAGCGGCGGGAAUACGUAGGGGGCAAGCGUUAUCCAGAUUUACUGGGUGUAAAGGGAGCGUAGACGGCGACGCAAGUCUGAAGUGAAAUGCCAGUGCUCAACACUGGAACUGCUGUGGAAACUGUGUAGCUAGAGUGCAGGAGAGGUAAGUGGAAUUCCUGGUGUAGCGGUGAAAUGCGUAGAUAUUAGGAGGAACACCAGUGGCGAAGGCGGCAUACUGGACUGUAACUGACGUUGAGGCACGAAGGCGUGGGGAGCAAACAGGAUUAGAUACCCGUGUAGUC
rnacentral:rRNA from 1 species